UACCGGGUUUUAGUAUAUACGAGUUUUUUGAAAUAAAGAGAAGCAAUACCGCCUCUUCUUGAUAGAACAAGAGGGCGGUAUUGCUUCUCUUUAUAUUUCAGACUGUUUUAGCUAAACAAAUAUUUUUUAUUUUUGCAUGAUCAAAAAGGAAUCCUUUGAAAUAAAUAAAAGAAAAUUAAAAUUCGC
rnacentral:misc_RNA from 1 species